rnacentral:rRNA from 1 species
UACAGAGGGUGCGAGCGUUAAUCGGAAUUACUGGGCGUAAAGCGCGUUCAGGCGGCUCAGCAAGUCGGGCAUGAAAUCUCUCGGCUCAACCGGGAGGGGCUGUCCGAAACUGCUGGGCUUGAGGGCAGUAGAGGGUGGUGGAAUUCCGGGUGUAGUGGUGAAAUGCGUAGAUAUCCGGAGGAACACCAGUGGCGAAAGCGGCCACCUGGACUGUACCUGACGCUCAAACGCGAAAGCUAGGGGAGCGAACGGG